GAGUGACAAGGGUGAUGGUGAUGGAAUGUUUUCCGUUGGUCAUGGCAGUUCCCAUAAAACGGGGAUCAUAAGACUCUAUGAUGACAAAGAUUAAGAGUCUUAUGAUCCCCGUUUUAUGGGAACUGCCAUGACCAACGGAAAAUAUUCCAUCACCAUCAACCUUG
rnacentral:pre_miRNA from 1 species